rnacentral:ncRNA from 1 species
UAUAAUACUAUGAAGAGAAGAGUAAGUUAUGGUACAUUUUCAGAGAGAGAAUACAUUUGGUGUAAGUAUUUUUAAAUGGAAUUAACUGAAGACCACCUCUGAGUGACUCUAAUAAAGUCCGUUAAUCUCGUUACGAUUAAAAAGUGGUAUAAAAUAUGGCUUUUAUAUUUUAUACAAAUUGGGUGGAACCACGGGAAUGUUAUACUCUCGUCCCUUUC